rnacentral:rRNA from 1 species
CCUACGGGUGGCAGCAGUCGAGAAUCAUUCACAAUGGGGGAAACCCUGAUGGGGCGACGCCGCGUGGGGGAAUGAAGGUCUGCGGAUUGUAAACCCCUGUCAUGUGGGAGCAAAUUAAAAAGAUAGUACCACAAGAGGAAGAGACGGCGAACUCUGGGCCAGCAGCCGCGGUAAUACAGAGGUCUCAAGCGUUGUUCGGAAGCACUGGGCGUAAAGCGUGCGUAGGCUGUUUCGUAAGUCGUGUGUGAAAGGCGCGGGCUCAACCCGCGGACGGCACAUGAGACUGCGAGACUAGAGUAAUGGAUGGGUAACCGGAAUUCUCGGUGUAGCAGUGACAUGCGUAGAUAUCGCGAGGAACACUCGUGGCGAAGGCGGGUUCCUGGACCUUAACUGACGCUGAGGCACGAAGGCCCGGGGAGCGAACUGGAUUAGAUACCCCAGUAGUC